rnacentral:tRNA from 1 species
CGGGCUGAAGCUUUAUAGAAGUGUUUUAGUUACAUUAAAAGGAUUGCUGGUUCCAGCAUAGUCUGA